CCUUCGAUAGCUCAGUUGGUAGAGCGGGGGACUGUAGAUUUAUAAUUGUGAUCCCUAGGUCGCUGGUUCGAAUCCUGCUCGAAGAA
rnacentral:tRNA from 2 species